AUCCAGCCGAUGUGUCCUAAAUAGAACGAAAUGCGAAUCCUGAAU
rnacentral:hammerhead_ribozyme from 1 species